CAAAAUCACAUUCCUGCUUCCUUCUGUCUAACUGUCACUUUCAGUUUUUAAACAAUCAUCAUCAUCAAGCGAUAGAUAGCAGGGCACUGGAGGAACAGUCGACUUCGGGACAGAUUACAAAUGGAUUUUCAUCUUUGAGGAGCGGAGUGAGGUCGGGAACUGGUGGCUAUCAGAGAACAUCACGUGGUGCUUUUCCCCAUCAGCUGGUAUCAA